rnacentral:rRNA from 1 species
CACCAGCGCCUCGAGUGGGGAUCGCGAUUAUUGGGCCUAAAGCGUCCGUAGCAGGCUUUGUAGAUCCUUUGUGAAAUGGGCAGGCUUAACCUGUCCGCGGGCAGAGGAGACCGCAGAGCUUGAGACCGGGAGAGGUUAGCAGUAUUCCUUGGGUACCGGUAAAAUGGGUUAAUCCAAGGAGGACUACCAAUGGCGAAGGCAGCUAACCAGAACGGUUCUGACUGUGAGGGACGAAAGCUAGGGGAGCAAAACGG